rnacentral:rRNA from 1 species
GACGAACGCUGGCGGCGUGCCUAAUACAUGCAAGUUGAGCGAUGAAGCUUGGUGCUUGCACCAAUUUGAAGAGCAGCGAACGGGUGAGUAACGCGUGGGGAAUCUGCCUUUGAGCGGGGACAACAUUUGGAAACGAAUGCUAAUACCGCAUAAUAACUUUAAACAUAAGUUUUAAGUUUGAAAGAUGCAAUUGCAUCACUCAAAGAUGAUCCCGCGUUGUAUUAGCUAGUUGGUGAGGUAAAGGCUCACCAAGGCGAUGAUACAUAGCCGACCUGAGAGGGUGAUCGGCCACAUUGGGACUGAGACACGGCCCAAACUCCUACGGGAGGCAGCAGUAGGGAAUCUUCGGCAAUGGACGAAAGUCUGACCGAGCAGCGCCGCGGGAGUGAAGAAGAUUUUCGGAUCGUAAAACUCGGUUGGUAGAGAAGAACGUUGGUGAGAGUGGAAAGCUCAUCAAGUGACGGUAACUACCCAGAAAGGGACGGCUAACUACGUG